GCUACCUGCAAAACCAAAGACAGCCUGGUGAAUGUGGAGCUGCCACUGCUCAGUAAACUGACCAAAGGAAAGCAGGAAUGCCAGGACAGCAGGGGCUGGAAGAUGCCUGGAGAUCACCGAGUCCAGCCCCCUUGCCAGGGCAGGGUCACCUAGAGAAGGUCACGCAGGAACACACCCAGGAGACAGAGGGUAAUUAGCCACCUCCCCCUCAAUUCACUGGAGAAAACACAGGGGAAGUAAAAAGCAGCCACCCUCGUGUAAAAUCUGCACCUGCAAAGCCUUUCCCCUCCUACAGCCAGGGACCACGAAGCAGAGCAGUUCUAAGACAUGACAUCUGCUGUGCUGCACUCCCCAAGCCCCACGACUGACACCAGGGGUUUGCUACUGCUAUUUGAGGGAAGCUUCCAUUCUAUUUUCCAAAGUAAGGACAUGAAAAAAAAAGCCAAGGGAGAAGAUGAACUCCUGCCUGAACUUCCAGACAAAGUUCCCAUUCUUCCCUCCUGGCUAGACGGGCAUGCUUCCAGACCUGUACCAGCCCUACCCCCUUCUCUAAUGGCUCCGGGUGAGGUUUGCAUUUCCUUCUUGUCUCAGCAACUGCCAAGAUGAGUCUGUGCAAGCUGCAUCUGCCCAGAAAGGCCUCUGGUCAGCAACAACUUCAAACUUUCUGUGCCACAGCUCAGGAACAAUGCGAAGAAGCUGUUUGAAGCCAAGCUCUGGAGGCAGCGUGUGGCAACACAGCAAGUAAAGCAUGGAUACAAGGUAAGCUCAGAAGCCAGCCCGAGGAGACCAGCUCCGGCUGCACCACCUACGUGUUUGAUGCAGAGAGGAGACGAAACUCAGUACACACUUUCAUGACUUCUGCUUUCAGAUUUUGGUUUAUUUGAACCUAAAACUCAAAGCAGAAGUUAUUAACUGAUGGAAGGUGUUUGCUUGCAGGGCUUAAACUCAAGCAAAAGACGAAACCUUUGCAAAGUAACACCCUCCCCCAUGCCACUUGAUGAGCACCUGCAACAGAAAUGCUAACAUUGGAAACCAGACUCUGCGUUCUGCUCAGGAAGCUUCUGCAUCUUUCUGAGACAUGGUCCAGGAUGGCUGGGGAACACUUGGGAACCCUCUAGGGUUGCUGAUGUUGCUAAGGGCAGUUAUUGAGAAGACAAAAGGGUGUGAGCCUGAGGAAGCUCUAAUGAACGUGAUUGCCUGCCCCCUAAUUGGGGAGGGUCAAGCUACCUAUUAACCAGUAAUUGGAAGAGGUCUACAUAAGAGCCAGGCCCAAAGCUCCACCACCAAAUGCAGGAGUCUAUGUAAGAAGUUGCCAUGAAGGAUGCAGUUCCAAGAAGCAGUCUCAGACAGGGUGGUGGCACACCAUGGGCUGGUUCUUCCAGCAGAUGUUGGAGCAGCUGUCCCUUACAGGGUAGAGGCUUUUGAUACAGAAGAGCUCUGGGACUGCAAAGAUAGAGCUAAGCUCCCUUCAGUGGUGCCCAGUGCCAGGACCAGAGGCAGGGGCACUAACUGGAAUGCAGGAGAUGUUCUUUCUAAUCAUCUAGAACACCUCUUCACUGUGAGGGUGACAGAACAUCAGUAGAGCUUGCCUGGAGAGGCUGUGGAAUCUCUGUCCUUGGAAAUACUGAGAAGGCAUCUGGAGCUCUUUACAGUGAGCACUUGAAAAUGGCUGUUAUUGUGCUCAGCCCUCACAAAAACUACCCUCUCCUCUCAGUGAACCAGAAUCCACAUCCUCGAUGACCAGCUUGGAUUUCCUGUUGCUCCAUCACUGUCCUGGUGACAAGGAUAUGGGGUUUGUACCUUCUCCAGCCCCACAGUUAGGGGAGCAAAGGAAAAGAGCAACAUUUUGUUCCUGGGUAGAUCGGGUUUUGGCACCCACGUUACAUCUUAAAGAGGAGGAUUUCCAGAUCCUACAACUCCAUCUGGAGACACAGCCUCCAGGAUGUGAGGAUAUGAACCACUGGGCUAUGACUUUCCCUAAUGCUACACCUGAGCCAACCCAGACUCCCCUGUACCACCUGGAAGAGUCCAGAGAGGCUGCAGAGCCAGCCUGAAUAACCUCAAUGCUGGCCCCAGACUCCAAUCCUGCAACAGCCCCAGGAGGGGCUGACUGGCAACAAGUCUGGGCAUGUGGCAGGGCUGACAAUGGGGGGACUCUGCCCUGUGCGGCUGAAGAUACUCUGACUAGCCAGCACCCAACACAGCUGAGGCUAGUCAGUGCCCUCAGCUGUAUCCAGAAAGGGCUGAUGAUGAGACUGGAGCAGAAAACACUCCACGGGGGGGCUGCUCUGCUCACGGUAUCUAAUCAACACCCAGCUGCAGUCCUGGGACAUCCCAGACACGAAACAAGGCAUCCACCAAGCAGGACAUUUUGUAGAGAGGGUCCUGAUAGAGCAAAGCUCUUACCAUGAAAUGACAGAGGUGAUGUCGAAGUGUUUUCAAAUAAGGACCCAGAGCAAACAAAGCACAGAACUAAGUAAGAAUAUAGAAUGGAUACAAUGAACAGUAAGUCUAAGAUCAGUUCUGCUGUACCUAACUAGACACAAGUUUUAAAGAGGAGUGAAGGAUGAUUAGAAGUGUAUGUGUAUAUAUAUAUGCACCCUGUGAAAGCUCAGUUCCUGCUGGGGAGAAGCCAAAAGAUCAUCUUCCCACAUCCCACGCCAAGGUCUCUGCAGACACAGAUCAGACCACACCGUCCCCCAGCCAAGCUACUUCAAAACCAAACCUGAAUCAUUUGCAGAGAUCCAAACUCAAACCCUCGAGACAAGGAAAACACGCUGCGAUUCUGCUUUUUGAGCAGCAAACUCCUCCCCAGCCUCACCUCGCAAAACCUGGGCUCCGCAGGUUUAAAUCAGGGCAGAAGUAACAGUCAGCCCUAGCCAGGGGGGGAGCCCCAGGGAUGGGGCUGGGGGGGACACAGCCACAUCUGCCAGGGAAAGGGUGGGAGAGGCUGCGGAAAGCAGAGUUUCACCACCACAUCAUGCAUUCCGCUCAGCUUAAUUAGUUAAAAGGAAUCUCACCCUUCUGUCUUUAAAGGGAGCUGUGCCAUGCACAGGCUGCUGCAGCUCACCGCGGAAGGAAUAGUUUGGAAGCACACAAAGGCGGACGCUGAAAAGCACUUUCAAAUUCCAGCUCGAAACAGUCUGGCUUCUAACACCCUCAUUUUUAAGGGCAGGAGAAUGCGGGGUUGUUCUUUUACUCCUUCACAGGGUCAAAAGGGGAGCAUAAGGGAACAGGUUUUGCCGUGUUCCAAGUUCUGAAGAGGAUUUUUUUUCUUUGCGAGUCUGCUUUCUACCACCAGCACGAUAAAUAGCUGCUGGUAACCUCAUUCCCUUUGAGUUCACCCCGCUGGAGAUAGAUUUCUAGCACACAAUGCCGCUCUUCUUUGAAGGCGAUUUCUUCCGAUGGCAGAUGGGAGGGCACAGACGGACGGGAGCAGAGCGCAGCCCAUCUCUGCAAGUGAAGUGCACCGAGACAACAGAACAAAAAACCCCAAUUCCGUGCGCCACAAAGAGCCGCCCGGCCCAGCGCUGUGACAGGGACUCACACCUGGGGCACAGAUGCGCUGCUUGGCCCCCAAACACGGAGGGGGGCACACGGGACAGGGGCCAGCCUCGGGCACCAGCACCGCCUAGACAGAGACCGGCCAGACACCAGCAGCGACGGGACAGGGGGGCAGAGGAGGGCGCGGUGUGCACUGCUCACCUUCAACACUCGCAGAGAAGCGAUGCACAGCGCCCGGGCACACACACGGCAUCGCCUGCAGGAUGCCCCCCCGCACCCACACGCUCCCCCGGCGCUUCGCACCCCCUUCCCCAGCUGGGACCUCCCGCCCUCGUCCCCUCUCGCCCCUUUCCCGCCUCGCUGCUCACCUCCC